rnacentral:miRNA from 1 species
UCAGUGAGAUUUGGGGAUGGGGACAGUGUGUUUUAAAAUUCAAAGCACAGUCUCCUUUGCAGUGCACAAGGA